UACGUAGGUGACCAGCGUUGUCCGGAUUUACUGGGCGUAAAGAGCGCGCAGGCGGUCGUUCAAGUCGAGUGUGAAAGCCCCCGGCUCAACUGGGGAGGGUCAUUCGAUACUGAUCGACUUGAAGGCAGGAGAGGGAAGUGGAAUUCCCGGUGUAGUGGUGAAAUGCGUAGAUAUCGGGAGGAACACCAGUGGCGAAGGCGAACUUCCUGGCCUGUUCUUGACGCUGAGGCGCGAAAGCUAGGGGAGCAAACGGGG
rnacentral:rRNA from 1 species